CUGGGGGUUAGUUAUUAAAUUUAAACAGAUGGUUAAACAAAUGGGUUGGAAGAGAAGGGAAUUGCAGUAAAGUUAUAUAACCGUGUUUCUGAAAAGUCUGUCGUAUAAUGUACCUUGCCAUUAGUCUGUCAUCAUCAUUAACAUCAGGCUAUGGGUGUGCAUGGGAAAGGCAAAAAGAAAGCACAUUACACACACAACUUGGACAGAUGAGCUCUGUCAAAUCCUGCUGUUAGUUGUUCAAGGGAAUCCCAUAGAAAUAGAUGCUGUGGCGUUGCUCAAAUGAGAAAAAAGGGAACAACUUCAAGGCAAGUAUAUCGGCAGUUUCAUUGAGGCACUAGAAAAUUCAUGGAUAUUAUUAAUUUAGUUCUUUUAUACCUCUUCCCUCUCUUCCUCCCCCUUAUGCCAUCUUCAUUCCCCAGCACAUUCCCACCAAUAUUCUGUGUAGAAUUAAAAAUCUUUCUUCAUCCCUGGACAAAAAGGAAAAGUAAUUUUCUUGCUAUUCUUUGCUAUCAUUGUUUUGCUGUUACAGCUUUGAUCACGUGCUGUGAUGCUGUCAGCUCAGCCAGUGGAGCUUUCCGAUUUUCCUAGUAAAAGUUAAAAAUGUCUCAAGGUGAUCUCCACCUGCGACCAUGUACUCCCUCCACCCUCCUGCAGGACAACUUGCAUAGGACAGAGUGCAGCCUCUCUCCAGGUGAUCACCAUGCAGGAACCGAUCACCAUCCUCCUUUGGGUCAAGUUCUAACACAACUUUAAAGGCUGCAGUAUGCCACCAACCUGCUCCACACCUCCUCCGUCCCCAGCCUCACCGCGGGUGCAAGAAGGUUAUCAGAUGCUUGGAGACACAUUUUGAAAUGCUUUGUUUCUUUGAAUUAACAGCAUGUUGGAAACUGUUGUACAGCUCAGGAUCAGAUCCGCUGUAUACAUAAGAACCCAGCAGAUAAGUCACUGACAGAAAAGAGGGGACGUGCAUUCAGGAACAUCUGACCCCCACAUAAGUUUUUCUGGAAAAAGUGGGGGGGUCAGGUAUUUUGAAGUGAUGCACAAAUAGUGUCACAAUUUUCCAACACUGUGAGGGGACCUUCUCUCUGUUUUAGCCUCAGUGACUGAGGGAGAGGCCUUACUUCAGAUCUGGUUUAGACCAGACAGUGUUUUUAAGCCCACACCGCUCAGCCACUCUACCAGAAAAGCUGUCCUUCACUGGUGGCGCUGCCAUGUACUUUUUCUUGUACAUACCUUCUGUGUUUCAUUGGAAUGACCAAACGGCUCAAAAUUAUACUUCUAAUUUAAACUGUGUUGAUCUGUGUCUUCCCUGCUUUUGGAGCAUGCACCCAAGUGCUGAAGCCACCUGUGCCACUUGCAUUGCUCCUCACAGCAGACUCACCUGGGGGAAGCAGCACCAUAAUUAAACUAAUGCACACCCUGAAUCUCAGUCCACGCAGAAGCGAAUGGCUAACGUUUGGGAAAUGAAAAUUCGCUUUCGUUAAGGAAAAAUUCCCAAAGAAGGGCCCAGUAUUAAGUGCCCAGUGCUCUCUACAUGAGCCUGCAGGCCUGUUUCCAAAGAAACAAAGGAGCUUUCAUAGCUGCCGUCGUGCUGCUUGAGCAUCUCACACAACACACACUCUUCAAUACAUUUAAAUCCUGUUGCGUACACCUGCCAUUAACAGGCAUCCAACGUGACAUGUACCCUGAGGCAGCAAAGAUACAUCCUGAAGUUAAGUGAAUCCAGACUCCAGGAUUGAAAUAGGGAGGUUAAAAAAUAACCUUGCUGUUGUGUGCCCUUGAACCACACGGCCUUUUCAUUUCACCGAUGCUUGGCAAUACAGAAAACUAGUGAAAAUAAAGCAUGCUGCAUCACCUGUGAGGGUCACUUUUUGUGCUACAGGAAUUAUGUCAGGUAGUAUUUCUUGAGGCUGAGACUGAGCUGUUUAAUUACUGAUAUAGUCCUGCCUGGUCAGUGCUGGCAUGGGAGUCACUGACUUCACUGGGAGCAGAGAUAGGCUAAUGGUGCAUUUAAAAAACCUCACCAUAUUUAUAUUUCCUUUCUCUUCCGACAACCUGUCUAUGCAAUCAAAAUAUUUUGAAGCUGGUGCAGUACACAUUUUUUUAUUUUAGGUAUUUUUACACAGAGCCUACCACAAUGGGAAACUGUGAGAAAGCUCCACCAGAGUCUUUGUUAAUUCAUGGAAGGAUAAACUCUGUGUAGAGUUCAGACAUUAAGUAUUAAAAUAUUGACACACAUACUAGUACGAGUGAGUAAAGAAGUAUUCAUGCUUCUUUUCCUAUAGCAAUCAACAUACCAAGUCAGUCACUGAUCAAAAGCCUACAUACUAUUUCUGUGAAAGAUGUUGCAUAUGUUAAGAGAUGAGCACUAUUUAGGCUAUACAAUUUUUGAGUUUAUUUAGGCUGUAGUGUUUGAUACUAUUUCACUGCAGAUUUUAUGUCCUGAUCUUAUACAUAUAAAUUUCAGACCAAUCAAGUAGAAAAAGCCAUAGAAAGUCUUACAAUGAAGAGGACUAUAACUUGGAGUUAUAGUACAAGUAAAUCUGCAAAAAGGUCCCCAUUGUGAAGGCAGUGGUCUGGGGGCCACUGAAAUCGAUGGAAGUUUUUUUUGUUUGUUUGUCCAGAACAAGAUCCAAAUUUCAUUGCAAUUUUACUUGCUCAGUAAGCUUGGGGUGAAACUGGACACAGCUUAAUAUCAUUCAGAUGUUUCACUUAUAUUCUUGGGUCAAUUCAUACAGUCGUUUCAGUCUUCAGAGGACAGAAUCCCAUAGAGAAACUGGAAUUAAAAAGUGUAAAGUGUUCUAAUGGCUUUUUUUUUCAAAUUGGUCUAUUUUUUUAUUUCAUACAUAACAAGUGGGUAUGUAAAAAAUCUACCAUAUUUUUCCAAGCAAAUUACUAUCUCAGGCUAAUAUUAGACAUUUAUAUUAUUUUAAUCAAAUGUUCAAUAUUGAUGAGAGAGGAUAAUAUGCAAUACAAAACAAUCACGUUUCAUAGAAAAAUAAAUUAACUCCCUUAAUACAAGCAAAUCUGGUAAGAAUUCUUCUAUAAGAAAUGUUUCUCAGUAGAAAGUAUCCUAUCAAACCCAAGGCUUUUUAGAAAAGAGCAGAUUUGAACAAAAAAAAAUCUGCAAAAUACAUCUUUUUCCAAAACUGUUAAAAUGCCGUGUUUUAACAUUUUUCUAAAUUAAACUUUUUAAAUUGUUUCAAA